AGAUUAAAGAAAAAAUAAUGAUUUUUAAUUUAAAAAUAUUAGAAUAAAUUACCUUAGGGAUAACAGCGUUAUAUUUUUUUAUAGGUCAUAUAGAAAAAAAUGAUUGCGACCUCGAUGUUGAAUUAAGAUAAAUUUUAAAUGCAGAAGUUUAAUAAUUAAGUCUGUUCGACUUUUAAAAUCUUACAUGAUUUGAGUUCAAAUCGACGUAAGU
rnacentral:rRNA from 1 species